rnacentral:rRNA from 1 species
AUGGCCUACGAGAUCAGUGAGAUCAAAAAAAUUGGCAUAGGUCUGGUGGGCUUUGGCAUCCUGUUCUCGUUCCUAGGUGUUAUCCUUUUCUUUGACAGGGGUUUGUUGGCUCUGGGUAAUAUUUUCUUCUUGACUGGAGUAGGCCUUCUUCUCGGUUGGCAAUCUAUGUGGCAGCUAUUUACAAAGAAGGCAAACAUUAAGGGAUCUGUACCUUUCUUCCUUGGUCUCUUUCUUCUAUUUGUCAGAUGGCCUGUUGCUGGUAUAAUCCUGGAACUGUAUGGAUCUUUUGUCCUCUUCAGUGGUUACGGGCCUCCUAUCCAAGCCUUCCUAUAUCAGAUUCCAAUCAUUGGAUGGAUUCUGCAAUACCCCUUUCAGCUAUUUGGUCUGAGGCGUAAGCGUGCUUGA